rnacentral:rRNA from 1 species
UGCGCAGGUGGGCUUGUAAGUCAGUGGUGAAAUACUGCCGCUUAACGGUAGAACUGCCAUUGAUACUGCAAGUCUUGAGUAUGGUUGAGGUAGGCGGAAUGUGUUGUGUAGCGGUGAAAUGCAUAGAUAUGACACAGAACUCCAAUUGCGAAGGCAGCUUACUAAGCCAUUACUGACGCUGAGGAACGAAAGCGUGGGGAGCGAACAGGAUUAGAUACCCUGGUAGUCC